AACGAACGCUGGCGGCAUGCCUAACACAUGCAAGUCGAACGAGACCUUCGGGUCUAGUGGCGCACGGGUGCGUAACGCGUGGGAACCUGCCCUUAGGUUCGGAAUAACUCCCCGAAAGGGGUGCUAAUACCGGAUAAUGUCUUCGGACCAAAGAUUUAUCGCCUUUGGAUGGGCCCGCGUUGGAUUAGCUAGCUGGUAGGGUAAAAGCCUACCAAGGCGACGAUCCAUAGCUGGUCUGAGAGGAUGAUCAGCCACACUGGGACUGAGACACGGCCCAGACUCCUACGGGAGGCAGCAGUGGGGAAUAGUGGACAAUGGGCGAAAGCCUGAUCCAGCAAUGCCGCGUGAGUGAUGAAGGCCUUAGGGUUGUAAAGCUCUUUUACCCGGGAUGAUAAUGACAGUACCGGGAGAAUAAGCUCCGGCUAACUCCGUG
rnacentral:rRNA from 1 species